GAUGAGUGAAAGUAACCCUUCAUGUUAUUCAUCGAUAUUGAUGUGUGUGUAAGUUUGAUUCAAUUUUGACAUGUAUGACUUUGAAAUCCUUGGAAUGAUUUUUGCACUUUACCAUUUCCCUUAUUUAUGUUUUGUCUAGAGUUGAGAUAAGUGAAUUGAGAAAACGCCAAACGCUUUUGAACCAUUUGAAUGUCCUUGAUGAAUUCUUGUUUAAAUCUUUUGUGUCAUGACUUUGGUUGUAAGGGUGGAAACUUUU
rnacentral:lncRNA from 1 species